CAGUAGCCGCGGUAAUACGGAGGGGGCUAGCGUUGUUCGGAAUUACUGGGCGUAAAGCGCACGUAGGCGGCUUUGCAAGUCAGAGGUGAAAGCCCGGGGCUCAACUCCGGAAUAGCCUUUGAGACUGCAUCGCUUGAACACGGGAGAGGUGAGUGGAAUUCCGAGUGUAGAGGUGAAAUUCGUAGAUAUUCGGAAGAACACCAGUGGCGAAGGCGGCUCACUGGACCGUUGUUGACGCUGAGGUGCGAAAGCGUGGGGAGCAAACAGGAUUAGAUACCCCUGUAGUCCCUGUCUCUUAUAC
rnacentral:rRNA from 1 species